UCCAAUAACCCUUCUUCUUUCAACUUGUUUUUUUUAUUCCAAUGCAUCUUGUCAUCAGCAACUCUUAGAUUCCCAAUUGAGUCUUUAGAUCUAUUAGAUUUUCUCAUAUCCAAGUUUUAAUUUACUGUCUAAUGUUUGAUUGUAUGGUUUUCAUUUCUCACAUCAACCCAUUGAUAGUAAUUGCAAUUUAUUCAAAAUUUACGUACAUAUCCCAAGGUGCAAAAGAAAAGGACUCCUAAUUCUUCAAAGGCAGAGACAUUGAUCUUUUUUAAGGGUUGUUGAUUGUAGAGUCAAUCGUGUCUUUAAUGGAGGACAACAGUUUAUUGCAUGGUUGUUGUUAUUCUUUAGGCAAUUGGUAUUAAGGUGAUGGUGGUCGGGCACACUCAUCAAGUUAGUGCUAUGCCUAUACAAUGUAAAUCUUAGAUUCUAAUUUAUGUUUCUUUUAUAUAUAUAUAUAU